AUACGGAGGGUGCAAGCGUUAUCAGGAAUCACUGGGUUUAAAGGGUGCGUAGGCGGCGUUAUAAGUCAGAUGUGAAAGCCCACCGCUUAACGGUGGAAUUGCAUUUGAUACUGUAGUGCUUGAAUCAGGCUGAGGUCAGCGGAAUGUGUCAUGUAGCGGUGAAAUGCAUAGAUAUGACAUAGAACACCAAUUGCGAAGGCAGCUGACUAGACCUGUAUUGACGCUGAGGCACGAAAGCGUGGGGAGCGAACAGGAUUAGAAACCCUAGUAGUCC
rnacentral:rRNA from 1 species